rnacentral:rRNA from 1 species
AUUGAACGCUGGCGGCAGGCCUAACACAUGCAAGUCGAACGGUAACAGGAAGCAGCUUGCUGCUUUGCUGACGAGUGGCUGACGGGUGAGUAAUGUCUGGGAAACUGCCCGAUGGAGGGGGAUAACUACUGGAAACGGUAGCUAAUACCGCAUAACGUCGCAAGACCAAAGAGGGGGACCUUAGGGCCUCUUGCCAUCGGAUGUGCCCAGAUGGGAUUGGCUAGUGGGUGGGGUAACGGCUCACCUGGCGACGAUCCCUAGCUGGUCUGAGAGGAUGACCAGCCACACUGGAACUGAGACACGGUCCAGACUCCUACGGGAGGCAGCAGUGGGGAAUAUUGCACAAUGGGCGCAAGCCUGAUGCAGCCAUGCCGCGUGUAUGAAGAAGGCCUUCGGGUUGUAAAGUACUUUCAGCGGGGAGGAAGGGAGUAAAGUUAAUACCUUUGCUCAUUGACGUUACCCGCAGAAGAAGCACCGGCUAACUCCGUG